GGAUACCGGACUCGCUUUACCGUAUAGGUGAAGUGCAUGAGGAGGAAAGUUGCGUGGAUGAGGCUGCUGAGGAGUUUAUACGAAAAUUCUACAAGGAUCUGAAGAAGCAAACAUAAUUUAUUUGUAAUUAAUUAAGAUAAUAAUCAUCAAUAUUUUCUCACAUGAUUGGAAGAAGGAAAUGACUAUAGCUACCUUAACUAAGAAAAUUUAAAGUUCAGAGUUGCAGGCUGGUCAAUUUUUGAGAGAUCUUAUUUCUGUUAUACAUGAAUUUAGCAGAGGAACCACCAUUUUAUUGAGAACCUCAAAUAAAUAUACAAAUUCCGCAAGCAGAAUCUGUUUUAUGUAAUAAUAUAUUUAACGAUAUUCUUCGGAACACAUAUAACUUUCAUAAUCUUCUAUAAAAAAUUCGUGAUUUUAGUUCCUAAAUCGUAAGCGACUGAAUCCGUUUUUUAGUUUCUAAUAAGUAAUACGCAGCGCAUCAAAAGAUUGAUUUUAUUUAUUAUUAUUUUAUUUUUACCGCAAGAAAUCAUAUACAGGACAGAGCUGCACCAGGAAGGCAGAACGGUGCAGUUGCUAUAUUUCUCAUGAAAUUAAUUAAACUCGGCUACUUCUAUUUAUUAAUCAUUUUAGUUAUUCAAUAAACUUUGAACAUCCAUAACAAAUUUGAUAAUUUACGACUUUUCGAUUUGAAACAAGUCAAACUCAAGCUCAUAUUUCUCUUCAUAAAACAAAAAUAAAUAAAUAUUCAUAUUAAACCAAUAUAAAAUACACAUACCGAUAAGUACAAAUAUAAAUGCAUUUUUGUAGGAGCUUUAAGAUAAAAAUUGAAAACAAUUUUUGAAGUGCCCGACUUUUUUCAUUUUUUAAAUAAUAAUCACAAGUUGAAAAUAAAAUAGAUAAUAUGUUUGCAAACAGCUCCCAUAUGAGUCGGUUUCUAAACUUUGCAACCAUUAGAAUUAGAACUGUCUAUUAAUGAACCGUACUUGGAAUAUAAUAUCAUGUUUAAUAAUUUGGCUCCAUUCGAUAUAUUACAUAAUAUAUUUAACAUGUUUAUUUGUUAUUCAAAACACCGACCGAAUGAACUAAUUUAUAAUAAAGUUACCUGACGAGCGUACAGAAAAAAUAGGCAUUUUUUAAUAUUGGAUAUACUCCAAUACGAAAAAUAAACUGACUUUGUAAAGGCCGAACGAUCAACAAUGACUUUCGGAUAACUGAUCAAGACAAAUAUAUUCUCUCUUCCGGAUGCUAAUAUGGACAUACCCAAACUGAUCAAAAUUAUGUAUAUUUAGUUAUAACCAAGCUAGUUAUUCGGCACAAAAUAUGGUUAUGCGGAUAUUGAAAGUCAUAAACAAAAAGACAAAGGGAAGAUAAAAUUAUGGAGGAGCUUGUUGCAUACUAAGAAAGUAUUCUCCAAUCUCAAGGGUUUAACAACCAUACACGAACAAGUUCUGGGAUCUUAGUACUUGAAGAUAAUGUCAAAUUACAUUCGCUUAAGCAUAUACCCUCGUAUUAAAAUAGAGUUGAGAUUAGUUUUCAUUUGUCAGUAUUGGUCGGUUCAAAUAGGAGUAUCUCAUAUUUCUAUUACUCUUAUUCGACAUUGAAUGUCAUAUAUAUAAAAUUACAAUUCAACAUGUAUCUAGCAUUCUAUAGAAAUGUGAUAAGUACGUUAAACACUUUGGACCUAUAACAAAAACACAUUCCGGUGCAUCAUUUGGACCAAACAAAUCUAAAUUCCUGCAAGUUGAAUCAAUCAAAUAGAGUCACAGUAUAUUUUGGGAAAAACUUUUGCAGGAAGAUUAUGAAAAAAUUAAAGGAAUAAAAAAAAAAUAGGAGCAGACAACUGGCAAAUUAUAUCCCAAAGCUUAACAUAGUAACACAUCAUUCCUAAAGUCAGGGGGAAAUAAUCUCUCCUACCUUCAUGAUGCAGGUGUUGUUGAGAUCUUCACAUGUUUAUUCCGAAAUAACCACUUCUGCAAGAGUGGAGGUAAGUUAUAUAAUAAACAUAUUUAUGUAUAAUGAAAUCCAUUGCCAGCAUAGUCUAAUGCUCUAAAUGAAGUUGGAAGAAGGUAGUAGUGCGAAGGCAUAAAAUUAAAGGUUAUUUACAUUUAGCCCUAACAAUAUUUGUGUUGUGCACAAAACCUCAAAAUUAAAAUACGUGCUUCCAUACCUUCAAGCUUUAAUGUUUUUCAUUUGUACAACCUGACCCUUUUUUCAAAUGUUUCUUGUAAAUAUUCCCUUCACCGUAAAACAUAUGUAUGACUCCAAAUAAAUUUCCUUCCCCGAAAAAAGUUGUUGGGUGUCCUGCCAUUUUAUUUUGCAAACUGUAUUAAUUGAGCUUUAUUUUCUAUCCUGCAGUGAAGAAUAUUUAUAUAAUUAAAUUAUAAAAAAGGGUCAUGGUGUACAAAUGUGAAACAUAUAAGGCAUGGAGGUAGAUUUUCAAACUUUGAGGGCUUAUGUGUACAGAAACGGAUACUGUAAGGGCUAUAAGAUAAAUAACCCUUAAUGUAAAUUCAAAUAUCUCAUGAAGACUGUAAAAUAUACUUGACAUGUAUCAAAGGAAGCUAACCUGUUUAUGUCGUUAUAACUUUUCUUCUUUGUAUCAAGUUCAAAUAUUAUAUUUCCCAGUGUCACAUCAAACAAGAAUGCAGAUUCUGGACAUUGUUAACGAGGAGACAUCCAAUUUUUACCAGCACUCCAUUCCAGACAAACAUCUAUUGACAAACGAAAAAAUAAAAUAACUUCAAUCUUCUUACAAAAAGAUAAGGAAUAUUGGUGUGGUUAACAAAGCAUUACGACACUAGACAGGGAACCAGAUAUUACUGAAUCAGAACUUGUGGGAGAUAAAGCAAGUGCAAUUUAGCUAGCUGGCUGAAUUUUAGAACAACAAUUUGUCUUUCUUUUUGUACACACAUAAUUGACUCGAAUGACAUGUCCUAAAAUUACUAUAAAACAGCAAUAUGAUAUUAUAGAAGACCAAUGUUAGUUGAGAUAAUAUUUGGAUCAUUACUUUUAAGAUGAAUGAUACAUUUACGCACAUCGACUAUGUAUACAGAUAAGCUGAAGAAAAAAUUUUGGGGGUGAACUUAACAAGGUAUUCUCUGCAAGCAAUUUUAACUUUUAUUCUGUAACACAUUCUCAAUAUUAUAAAUAUGACUACAAUCUGGUUUCUUAUGGUGAUAAACAUGUCACUAAAAAUAUAAUAAUGAAAUGCAAACAUUAAAACUCGAAUAAUCAAUCACAUCAAAGAAGAAAACAAAUGGCUUGUUGGCCUCUAUGGAAGCAAGAAAUAUAAAGUGAUAUUGAUGUAGAUGCAUGUAUAUAUAGUGUGGAUCCAGCGAAUGAUCAUCGCUGGAGAGACAGAGAAAAAAAGAUUGACAUAUAUAUACUCAGGGACUGAGGAUGGCAAACUGUAAUAUGGAGGACACAUUUGGAUCCUCCAAAACAACAGUUAGUAAAACAGUUCAACAUACUAGUGUAAAGAAAGACGACGAAAAUGAUGCAGUGGUGCACAAAGAGAUGAAUACCCAUGAUGGAAAAAUAUUUAUUGACAAGUUCUUUGAGAUUCCAGAGGAAGACAAUGAUAAGUUCUUGAGAAAGAUUAGAACACGGAUGGACAAGUAAGUGCUUUACUCAAUCACUGAUAGGAUGUAGACUUUGAUACCAUUACGUAUGUAUAUAUGACAGCAAAUUCCUACUACCUUUAUUAACUCGAUUUGGCAUGAGUUGGUGUAGAGCAGGGAUUGACUUGCCAAAAGUAGAAGUCAGGUUUCAGAAUUUAAGUGUGGAAGGCAAUUGCUUGAUCGGAGAUCGAGCACUUCCCACCUUGCCAAAUGUUGCUUGGAAUGUUGCCGAAUCAGCCCUGAGUGGCUGCCUUGGGAUUAAAUUAGCAGGGCAAGCAAAACACAUGAUUCUAAAAGAUGCAAGUGGCAUCAUUAAACCAGCAAGGUAUUGGCAUACACUUAAAUACAUAUAUCGAUAAACAUACAUAUGAACAAGAUGCAUGCAAAGAUCGACUAUACUAAGAUUGAUAAAUAUAUCGACAGAUAUUAGUGAAUCCCCUCAAAAUUUUCAAAUGUUGUGACAGGAUGACACUCCUACUAGGCCCACCUUCUUCUGGGAAAACAACCCUCUUAUUGGCUCUUGCUGGCAUGCUGAACUCUACCUUAAAAGUUAGUUACAAUCUCCUUUUUUUCAUACCUCUUUAUGUCUUGGUUAAAAAAAAUUCCUAAUGACUUGUCUCGAUAUACAGAUUUGUCAAACAUUUUUGAAAACUGUAUAAAAAAGCUCUUAUUUUUGUACCACACAUUCCUUGCUACAGGUUACAGGCGAAAUCACUUACAAUGGGUAUAGACUGGACGAAUUUGUGCCACAGAAAACAUCAUCAUACAUUAGCCAGACUGAUAUUCAUGACGGACAAAUGACCGUAAAAGAGACCUUAAAUUUUUCUUCCAGGUGCCAGGGUGUUGGACCACGAUAUGGUACUUUAUUAAGCUUGCAAAUGAAGUCCUUCACAUUAUCAGCCUCAUUUAUCACUACAAUUCAUCUGCUAGUAGGUAAAUAUUUCAGUUGAUAUUAUGGAAAUUGAUCACUAUAAAAAAAUUGUAGAACUCCUAACUGAGCUUGAAAGGAAGGAAAAGGAAGCUGGGAUAGUUCCUGAUCCUGAGGUUUCUUAUUUCAUGAAGGUACUAUAUUUAGUCAUGCUAUUCCUAAGGGAAAACAUACGGUAAUUUUCCAAGUGCAAUUGCUUUUUAUUGACUUUGUAUUGUUAAACUUUUGACUGUCAAAGCAAACAGCAACAGGAGGAGUUGAAAACUGUUUUAUUACAGAGUAUACUCUAAAAGUAAGUUGGGACACUUUUGUUUAAAUAAAUAUUAGAUAAACUUGCUUAAAUGUGUUGGGACUUUUUAUACUUCCCAACAAAACGUCCUAAUAUAUAUAAAAAGUAUAUGUAACUAUGUCUUCUUACUACCGACUACUACAGAUCUUGGGACUUGAUAAAUGCCGAGACACUAUUGUGGGGAAUGAAAUGCACCGAGGAAUAUCAGGGGGCGAGAAAAAGAGAGUCACUAUAGGUCAAUUUCUUCCCAUUUCCUUUGUAUUAUCCCUAAAUUUCGACAACAGUUUGAAAGGAUCUAAUUGCUACUAAUUUCAAAAAGUGACAUCAGAGCUAAUCAACAAUGUACUAAAUGAUGACUAAUUUCUAAGAAAAGGAUGAUGCUUAUUUAAGUAGUCACUGUUGCUAAAGCAGAAAAGAGUUCACCUAACCAACUUGCCUGGAGUUAGAUUGUGCUUAAAAGUUAACAGUUUCUUCAGAAUGUUCUUGUCAAAAUUCAGGAAAUUUAUAUGCGUUCAGAUUUUUGUCAUAAUUCACAGGGUAAACUAACACCUCGUACACAACAAUGUUCAACACACACACACACACACACACACACACACACACACACACACACACACAUUGUGAAAUUUUGCUUGCUUAACCAGUGUGCAUCAUUUCAUUAAAAAGAACAAGCAAUUACAGAUGUUCAAACUUCAAAUAUUGUUUAGUUCAUCUUAUAAAAUGUACUUACAGGAGAGAUGAUUGUUGGGCCAACAAAGACUCUAUUUAUGGACGACAUAUCCACAGGCCUUGACAGCUCCACAGCAUUUCAGAUAGUGAAAUGCUUGCAGCAGAUUGUCCACCAGACAGAAGCUACAGUGUUAAUUUCCCUCCUUCAGCCAGACCCAGAGAUAUUCAAUCUCU
rnacentral:lncRNA from 1 species